rnacentral:misc_RNA from 1 species
UUAUAAAACGCCAAAUGAAAAUUACAAGAAACUUCGUACCUCUAAUUUAAUGCAAUAAUAUGUGCAAUUUGAAGCAUGCCGAUUCAGGCGCCCUCAUGGACAGACUUUCUGAACUGUCCCAUCUGCUGCAAUGAGUUUGAUGGCAGCCAGCGUGUGCCCAUUAGCCUGGGCUGUGGCCACACAAUAUGCCGGCCCUGUCUGACAACGCUCUACAACCGCCAAUGUCCCUACGAUCAGACACUUAUUGUGACGGAUAUCGAUAGUUUGCCCAUUAAUUAUGCGCUGCUGCAGCUGGUGGGCAAUGGAGGUGCUGUUGGGACUGGCAAGGAAUCGGAGCUGGCCGAUCUGGCGCCGAGUGUUAAAAAAUUGCUGGCAGAACAACUGAAAUGCUACAAGCUGGGGAAGAAAUGCAUCGAGGAGCUGGCGUUGCAUUUGCGUUCGUUUUUAAAUCAGAACAGCAGCAAUCUGCUGACGCGUCCCAUGCAACGAAAGCUCGUGGCACUGGUCAACUGUCAGCUAAUGGAGGAGGAGGGUCGGGUGCGUGCCUUGCGUGCCGCUCGAUCCCUGGGCGAACGCACCGUCACCGAACUAAUACUGCAGCAUCAGAAUCCACAGCAGCUCAGCUCGAAUCUGUGGGCAGCGGUGCGCACUCGAGGCUGCCAAUUCCUUGGGCCCGCCAUGCAGGAGGAGGUGCUCAAGCUGGUGCUGCUCGCUCUCGAAGAGGGUUCGGCACUUUCGCGCAAAGUCCUGGUCAUGUUUGUGGUGCAACGAUUGGAGCCACAUUUUCCUCAAGCGUCCAAGACGAGCAUUGGGCAUGUGGUGCAGCUGCUGUAUCGGGCCAGCUGCUUUAAGGUGUCCAAGCGUGAGGCGGACUCAUCGCUGAUGCAACUCAAGGAGGAGUUUCGCACCUAUGAUGCAUUGCGUCGCGAACACGACGCCCAAAUCGUUCAGAUUGCCACCGAGGCGGGCUUGCGCAUUGCACCCGAACAAUGGUCGUCGCUGCUGUACGGCGACAUUGCGCACAAAUCCCACAUGCAAAGCAUCAUUGACAAACUGCAGACCCCAUCGGCAUUUGCCCAAUCCGUACAGGAGUUGGUCAUAGCACUGCAGCGGACCAGUGAUCCCGCCAAGCUGGCACUGCUUCACACCCAUCUGCAGUAUUUGGCGAGCAUUGAUCCGGGCGUGGAGAUUGCACCGUGGGACGAUGUCGCCAAGGCGCUGGACGCUGUACGCAAUGCUGUCAUGGGUCUCGUCCUCUUCCUGCAGCAUCAUGGUAUACGCAAGCCACAGGAUAGCGGCUCCGCGGGUGGCGGUGGUGGUGGUGGUGCCGCAGCCGCUGCCAAUAACAACACCAAGUAUAAGAUUAGCCUGUGCCGCGAUCUCAACCAUCGACGCGUCUGUCCGCGUGGCGCCAGCUGCACCUUUGCCCACUCCCAGGAGGAGGUCGAACGCUAUCGCGCCCGCAACCGUGGCAAGCACAUUAAGUCGCCCAUGGCAAUGGCCGGCAUGCCAAGCAUUCCUCCACAGGGCGCGAAGGGAGCGAAGCCACUGCCCGAUGUGAUUACACAUGCCGGUCCAUCGGCCAUGAUGCCCAUAUCGCCCAUGCGCUUCAUGCAAGCGAUUCCACCAGCCACAGCACCACCUCGUGGUGGCUACCUGGAGCCCAACUGCAAUCUACAGCCACAUAAUCUAUCGCCCAGUGGUGGCGUGGUGCAUCCGCUGAUGCAUCCACAUGCCAGUCCCAUAGCACGCCAGCACCAGCAGCAGCAGCAGCUCAACGGAUUACUGGUGGCGCAACCACCACCACCACCUGGCCAAUCGGUUCACUAUGAACAACGCUACGGCUUUCAACGGAAUCCGCCGCCACCACAACGCAACCCACCGAACUACAGCAACAGCAACCACAACAGCAACAACAACCACAGCAGCAACAACAACCACAGCAGCAACAGCAGCAGCAGCAUCAAUCACAAUAAGAGCUUCAUCAGCAUGCUUCCAGCGGAUGUUUACCAUUCGUCAUUCUCCAAUGCCGAGCAGCAGCAGCUGCCCGGCAAACUGGCGCAUCAUUGGGAGCACACAUACAUGCCGUCGCCUGGCUCUCUAGCGCCGUCCAGCAAGAAUCCCGGUCGCAGCAGCAUGUCGACCAUUUUAACCGCAACAGCUGAUACCUCAUUUUAUGAAAAGAAACCGCCGAGUAAUGUUAACAUUGACCUCGAUAUGGUCAAGCCGCUGAGCGAGAACUCAACGCCGCUCUAUAGACCCAGCAAUCACAAUCACAACCACAACAACAACCAUAGUGGCAACAACAACAGUGGCAACAAUAACAGUAGCAGCAACAAUCAUAGCAACAAUAAUAAUAGCAAUACAUCACUUUUAUUCUGGAAUAAUCCCAACAACAAAACAGAGUCCGCUAACUUUGUGCGUUCCGACUCCAUAUUGGACGACGAUGCAACGACUUUUGAUAUGCCCACUGGUUCCACCAACCAUAGUCGCUACGGCCCCAUUUGCCCCAAACGCUCCACGAGCAACAAUUGGCAAAACUCCUGGCUCAUGGAGAACGAUGCCAUCAAGAAUAAUAGCGAAUUUCUCGUCGAUAAGCUCACCAGUUAUGCGGCAGGCUUCAAGCCGGACCACAAUGAGCACAAUCCCAAUGCCAAUGCCAAUAAGAAUCCUACUGCACGUGAGUUCAUUUGGAACAGCGAUCCGACAAAUGCGUCUAGCAAUUAUUGGAGCAGCAGCAGCGUCAGCGAACCGGAAAGACUGAAGCAUCAACAGCAACAGCAUCAGCAGCAGCAACAGCAUCAGCAGCAGCAACAGCAGCAGCAGCAACAGCUGCAUAUGAUGGAAAGGAAGCCAGUGUUGCUGUCCGAGGACAGUUUUGAUGGUGGCAUCGAUAGCGGCAUGAUGAUCGAGCUGGAAAAGAAACUGGUCGACAUUGUUGAGGUCGGCUCGAAUCCGGAUGACAGUGGCAUUAAGCUGGAUUAGAAUAGUUGGAGUCUUGGGAGGAGUGGAAACAUAAUGCAAUCAUUUUACAACAGAUCUCUCUCGAUGAGAGGGACACGUUUCGAGAUUUUUUUUAAAUUAUUAACUAUGUAUUUCAAAUCGAAACGCUAUUUUUAUAUAUACACCUAAAAGUGAGGAAGUUGAUGAUGAUGAAAAUAUAUAUAACAUAUAUAUAUAUAUAUAUGUAUGUUCUAGAAAGUUGUGGGGGUAAAGUGAGGCCCGCACCUGGGGGGACCCGCAUACGUUUGAUAAUUUAUAUAUAUGUGUAUGUGGAUGAAUGUUUAUAUUUCUUAAAGAAAUUUUAAUAACGCUAUUGUGCGAUGUUGUUAACUAUUGUACUAUAUUAUUAAAUUUAUUGAAAAUAAAUUAAAAUCAUGUCCCUUUA